AGAGAUGUGUGAUGACGCAUAUCAAUAAGCGGAGGAAAAGAAACUAACAAGGAUUCCCUAGUAACGGCGAGUGAAGCGGGAAGAGCUCAAAUUUGAAAUCUUAAAGGGUUCUCCCUUGACGAAUUGUAGUUUAUAGAAGUGUUUUCUGUUAGUAGAGUUCGGUAAAAGUUCUCUGGAAUAGGACAUCAUAGAGGGUGAGAAUCCCGUAUUUGGUCCGUUACUUUCUAGCUUUGUGAUACACUUUCAAAGAGUCGGAUUGUUUGGGAAUGCAGUCCAAAAUGGGUGGUAAAUUUCAUCUAAAGCUAAAUAUUGGCGAGAGACCGAUAGCGAACAAGUACCGUGAGGGAAAGAUGAAAAGAACUUUGAAAAGAGAGUUAAACAGUACGUGAAAUUGUCAAAAGGGAAGCGUUUGACACCAGUGUUGUUUAGUUGAAAAUCAAUUCAAUAAUUUUUGAUUUUGGGUAGUAUUGACUUCAUCAGCUUGCUGCUUUCUUUUCAGAAAUUAUUGAAUGCACUUUUCAGUUAACAAGUCAACAUCAAUUUCUUUCGUUGUAAAAGGGUAAGAGGAAGGUGGCUUACGCUUCGGCGUAAGUGUUUAUAGCCUUUUACCUCUGCAAUCGGAGAGAUUGAGGACAGCAGCGUAGACUCUUCGGGGUUAGAUACACUUGUGCUAAGCUAUAGCCUUGUAUAGACAACUUGUUGACUAUGCUCAGUCAUGUAGCUUACUCGCUGAUGCUAUUUUACCUACGCUUAGGAUGUUGACAGCAGUAUAGACUGU
rnacentral:rRNA from 1 species